rnacentral:rRNA from 1 species
AGAGUUUGAUCAUGGCUCAGGACGACGCUGCGGCGUGCUAACACAUGCAAGUCGAACGAGGUCCAUGCAGUGGCAACACUGCGGACGACCUAGUGGCGAACGGGUGAGUAACACGUGAGGAACUUGCCCCGGAGACCGGGAUAACCCUCCGAAAGGAGAGCUAAUACCGGAUGUCCUCACCGAGUCGCAUGGCUUGGUGAGGAAAUGGAUUCCGCUCCGGGAGAGCCUCGCGGCCUAUCAGCUAGUUGGUGGGGUAACGGCCCACCAAGGCGUCGACGGGUAGCUGGUCUGAGAGGACGAUCAGCCACACUGGGACUGAGACACGGCCCAGACUCCUACGGGAGGCAGCAGUGGGAAUCUUGCGCAAUGGGCGAAAGCCUGACGCAGCAACGCCGCGUGCGGGAUGACGGCCCUCGGGUUGUAAACCGCUUUCAGUGGGGACGAACCAAGACGGUACCCACAGAAGAAGGUCCGGCCAACUACGUGCCAGCAGCCGCGGUAACACGUAGGGACCAAGCGUUGUCCGGAUUCAUUGGGCGUAAAGAGCUCGUAGGCGGUUCGAUAAGUCGGGUGUGAAACCUCCAGGCUCAACCUGGAUACGCCACCCGAUACUGUCGUGACUAGAGUCCAGUAGGGGAGCGUGGAAUUCCUGGUGUAGCGGUGAAAUGCGCAGAUAUCAGGAGGAACACCAGCGGCGAAGGCGGCGCUCUGGGCUGGAACUGACGCUGAGGAGCGAAAGCGUGGGGAGCGAACAGGAUUAGAUACCCUGGUAGUCCACGCCGUAAACGUUGGGUACUAGGUGUGGGGUCUUAUCAACGGAUUCCGUGCCGAAGCUAACGCAUUAAGUACCCCGCCUGGGGAGUACGGCCGCAAGGCUAAAACUCAAAUGAAUUGACGG